UGAACUUCCAGAUCAAUGCCAAGAUCUGGUUAGGACACAGAAGUCAAUGUAGAACACCAUAUAGUAUGUUGAUAUUAAUACAGGUGACAGAGUCCCAUCAUCACUUGGGGGCACUGGACAUGUAUAGGACACCAUUGAAGAACCAAUGAAAACACCAUUACAAUCAACACUAAUGCUGAUCAAUAUAUAUCACUCAACCCUCAGCAGAGAAGCAUUCUUGGAAUAGAUGGGAAUUAACACAACUAGACCCUGUGCAGAAAGUGGAAGACUUUGGAGCACUCAGCCCCGAAUGGUAUUUCUUCAUCACACCCCUCCUCUCGAGGCUCAGGGGUCUAUGCAGAAGAGAAGUGUAGAAUGUAAACACCGGGGGUGGUAAUGGUAAGAAAAUGGCACUUGGCAGCCUCAACAAAGGUGGAUGCACUUAUGAACCUACAGAGACUGCGACAGCACACGGAAGCCCUGCAGAAGCUCAAGCCAGACAAGAUUUCAUCUGAUAAGGGAAAACGCCAUAAAGUCCCACCCCUAACCACGAAGCUUUUUACAAGUAAUAUCUUCUGGGAGAAAGGAAAGUCAGUUUUCUCUGAUGGAGUAACACUGGGUAUACCAAUCACACGCCAGGGAAGGCUACCUGUUUAGGAACAGUUGGCCAGCACAAAUUGGACUCUGUUUUUAGUGGCUUAACAAAAUAAAAAAAAAAACAAACAACAACAACAACAACAACAAAAAACCUUCCUUCCUUCUUUCCUUUCUUACAUCCAGAGAAACAACGUGACGUUGAGUGGGUAUGGGGUGGGAUGUGUCUUAGGUGGGAAAGAAUUCUAUGGAAGCUUUGAAUAAAUAAAGAAGCAUUAUUACUAUGUUCUGAGAAAUGAGAUGCUUAAUCUCACAUUUGAUCUCAUGCCAUUCAUUCCUAUAUCUAAUCAUUAUACUUUAGCGUCCACGCUGUGGUGGGCUCUGCCUCUGGCCCUCUACCAUGAAUAACUUCCCAGGGCAACAAGUAUGCAGUUGACUAACACCAGUUCAUAAUUCUGUGGUCCAACGAUGACGGGAACAUAGGAGGUCCUUAACAGAGACUGACGAUAUCUGAGAACCCAGAGGGGACACUGGGGAUACAGGCAUGUGAAAUCAUUUUUCAGUUCAAUUAUUUCACACUUUAUUCAGAGUAAAUUCUUUUUGGGCGGUGCUGGGGACUGACCUCAGGGUGAGGCAAGCACGCUAACUGAAACCACAUGUAUAAUUAUUCAACUUGCAUAGCUUUUUGUUUUGUCUUGUUUUGUUUUUCAAGACAGGGUUUCUCUGUGUAGCCUUGGCUGUCCUAGGACUAGAUCUGCAGGCUAGGCUGGCCUAGAACUCACAGGGAUCCAUUUGUCCUUCCUCUGCCUUCUGAGUGCUGGGACUAAAGGCAUGUGCCACCACUACCACCACCACAACCUGCUUGCAUAGUUUUAGUCUGCAUCUGCUUUGACACUGGGAAUCUAAAUUUCAUGUUCAGCUUAAAAAUAAACUCUAUGUUAGAAACACUUCAUAAUUUCCUGUCCUCCAUUAGCACAUGCCCUUCUAUCCCACCACACUCAGCACAACAUCUUGUUAAUAUUUGCUUUGAUUUUCAUGUUUUUUUCCCCUAAGCUUAAUGAUCCCAUUUUUCCUCACAUGUAAAUUUUCAAUUCACAACUUUGUCUCAGUGCAGAAAUUUUCAAAAGCCAUUACAAUUUCAGGAUGUACUGGCUGACCCCAGGGUUAAGGAUGCCCAUACAAAAGGUACAUCCUAUUGAAAUGCUCAUUCUGAGGUUAAAGACAGAAAAGGGAGCGUCACAACUUGAAGGGAGCUUUGCAGGAUGAGCAUUGCCUGCCUUCUGCUGCAGAGAUCUGCUCUGCGCUUGGUGACGAUGGGAGGACCAAUAAGUCCUCACAGCAGUUCAAACAGAUAAAGGACCUGUAAGAUGGACUGAAAGCCAGCGGAGAGGAUGGCAGCACCCGGGAUUCAGUUAUUGAUGCCACCUGCUGAGCUGUCAAAAUAGAAUUAUGUGAAGCAUACAGGGGCUUGAAUUAACUGAUAGAUUUAACACAAGUCAAUUACACACAUAAGAGAUCCUUCCACUUCUCUUCUCCAUCUUUCAAUGCACACAAGUACUAAGGAUGGUGGUAUUCAUCAUUUGAAGUAAGAAAUAAACCAGAUCACUGUUGAAGCUCCACUUAUCCCUGAAUCUUGACUUCUCUAGUUACCAAAAGCAAAUCAAAUCAAAGCAAAGCAAAGCAAAGCAAAGCAAAGCAAAGCAAAGCAAAGCAAAGCAAAGCAAAGCAAAGCAAAGCAAAGCAAACCAAACCAAACCAAACCAAACCAAACCAAACCAAACCAAACCCAAAACCCAACAGAGAUAUAUAAGUAGACACAGUGGCACUUACGAAGUCAAAGACAGGGCUGUCUGGACUAAGCAAAGGCUUAAAAAGGCUUUAAAAAAAUCAAAAGGAUGAGAGUUUUCACUAAGAUCAAUGAAGAUAAAAAAUGAGGCGGGACUGCCAGUGUUUCUUAGCAAAAUGUGCCAAUGCAAACAUUUUAUGAGUUUUUCCAUGAAUCUCAGAGUCUACAGAAUUUAUUAA
rnacentral:lncRNA from 1 species